GCCUCGUGUGCGCUCCCGGGGCGAUGCUGCUCUCCCAGCCCCACCACCAAGGACCCCGGGCGGGCAGGCGGCGCCACGCCUGGGCCUCAGUUACCUGUCCAGGUAGCGUGGGCAGGAAUACCUGCUGUAAGCAGUUCUCAGGACCAGCU
ensembl:snoRNA SNORA59A small nucleolar RNA, H/ACA box 59A